rnacentral:lncRNA from 1 species
GGCCAAGGCCCUGCCUUUCACCCAGCUCCCUCUCCAUCAGCCAGAGAAAGGAUGCUAGAGAAAAGUGCACCUUCCCUAGAGAGGCUACAGGAAGAUUCCCGGUCCCGGUCAGGCCAUGGUGGGCAGGUGGCCACUUCCGUUGCUGCCUGUGUCUGAGGACAUUGGCCCAGGGUUGGCAAGAAGAGGAAGGUGUUGCAUCAACAUGCAGCACAUUCACCUGACAAGGAGCUGGCCGCAGCCUCCGCUGCCAAACGGUGACGGUGCUGGCUGGUGCCCCCAGGAGCUGUUCACCACCUCCCGGGCUAAUGGCGCUUGCUGCCUGGCACACAGCAGGUGACUACACUGCAUGGCUUAUAAAUGUGGCCUCUGCCAGGAAAUCCUGGGAAAGAGCCAGGGAGGUGACGUUUUAUCCACGAGCCUGCUAUGGCUUAGCCUAGCCCUCCCCUAACUGUGACCAAGCUCUGGAUGAGACACAGACAACUACUGAGGACCUGCAAAGUAAGGAGACUGCAGGGCGGAGGCGGAACUUGGAGGAGUGACCUGCCGUGGAGUUUCUGGUUUCCUCCUUGUGGCUUUGUCUGGAGGGCAAGCCCCACUCUCAGAUCCACAUGGCAACACAAGCAGCUAAAACGCAGAUAGAAACCCCAACCUGGGAAAAGGAGUCCUACAGCAACUUUUCAGAAGCUUCAGAAGAAGGACGCCGGAGAAUGCCCGCCCGGGACUCCGAGGUGCCCUGUGCUCAUGGAUUGGUCCUCCUGGCUCCAUGAGUGUGAGUGAGUGUCUGCAGGUCCCUGGCACAAAAGCUGCAGUGCUGAGCAGGUGGCUAAUGGCCCUGGCUGGGUGAUUUUGGACAAGUCACCUUUGCCUCUCUGGCCUCCAUUGUCCCUCUGUCAAACAGGCCCCACGACAGCAAGCGUUGGUUAUUGUGUCUAUGGUCAACAUCCCACCUGCCUUUCUGGGCAGAGACGUUUGGGAGCAGUGGCUGUAUCCCUGAGCACGUCGUAAGGGCACUUUCCUGCAUGCCCUGGCUGGAGGGACCUGUUGCUGGGAAAACUCCCCAGAGUGUGAACCGGCGGCGGCUCCACCAUCUGGGUGCCGUGGGCAUGGUGCAUGGCGGGAAGGAGGCCGGCACCACAGAAGGGUGGCAGCUGUCCCCGGAAGGCUCUCCCCUGAGGGCGCCCAGGGCUCCACCGCUAGCCAGCCAUCUCCUUGCAGUAAGGCACGUUUCCUCCAGAUCCUCUCGGAACUGCCGGGAGUGGCUGCCCCACCCGCCCAGCUCUCCCUGGGUCCUGCCAGGCAGGGAAGCGUGAACCGAGACGGGCUCGGGAUGGCUCUCAGGCCCUCCCUGCUCUCAGCACCAAGGGAGGCACCCAGAGACUGAUCUGUGGGGGCAACGGAGACUCCGGGUCCCCCCACCAGGAUACGUCCCCUUUCUUUGCAUCUGAUGCUGACACACACAUACGAGGAGCCCAGAGGCAGAAACGGGACUCAGAGCCUGACGCUGAGGCUGGUGUGUGGGGCUGCCUCUCCCAGUGCUGAGGCUGGCGUGUGGGGGCUUCCUCUCCCGACACUGAGGCUGGCGUGUGGGGCUGCUUCUCCCGACGCUGAGGCUGGCGUGUGGGGCUUCCUCUCCCGACGCUGAGGCUGGCGUGUGGGGCUUCCUCUCCCGACGCUGAGGCUGGUGUGUGGGGCGGCCUCUCCUGGUGCUGAGGCUGGCAUGUGGGGCGGUCUCUCCCGACCUUGAGGCUGGCAUGUGGGGCUUCCUCUCCCGACGCUGAGGCUGGCGUGUGGGGCUUCCUCUCCCAACCUUGAGGCUGGCAUGUGGGGCUUCCUCUCCCGACGCUGAGGCUGGCAUGUGGGGCGCCCUCUCCCGACCUUGAGGCUGGCAUGUGGGGCUUCCUCUCCUGACCUUGAGGCUGGCAUGUGGGGCUUCCUCUCCCGACGCUGAGGCUGGCGUGUGGGGCGGCCUCUCGGGAGCAGGCGGCCUCGGGGAUCCUGGGGGUCAGCAGCCCCUCCACAGCUGCACCUCCCGGGACUGACCCUGCAGAACCCACCUCCCGCCAGCCCCUCCACAGCAGGACAGCACCCGCCUCCUUUUCCAAGGCCGCCUCGCCCAGUGGAGGCUGCAGCUCUACUGGGUGUGAGUCAGGAGGAAACGCUCGCAGCCAACACAGGCAGGACACGCCCACGUGACAUCGGAUCCCACGGGGAGGAGUCCACUGGGCAAAUCUGAACAAUGUGGGGGAAGAUAUUGAUGAGAUGUUAAACAUAACCCAUAGAAGAAGAAUCUACAAGUCCGUACUGACGUAAAUAAAUAAACAGGCAUUGGGGAGAGACAGCUUUUCCUUACCAUAGAAUUCCAACUCAGCCGCAGAAUCCUGGUGGGAACCGUCAUCAAAGUCAACGGGAGCAGACACCACCAAACCCCAGAUCAAAGUCAGCAUCGCCAGCAACGGGCACACGGACACCAGGAAACUCCAUCAGCAUUGCUUUUGCUGUAUUCUUGACAAAAUUGUACAGUUUAAUUUUUUUUCUUUUUUCUUUCCUUUUUUUUUUUAGAGAUGGGGUCUCACUGUGUUGCCCAGGCUAGAGUACAGUGGUGUGAUCACAGCUCACUACAGCCUUCCGUGGCUGGGACUACAGGCACACACCACCACAUCUGGCUUGUUUUUUUGUUGUUGUUCUUGUUUUACUGUUUACUUUGUAGAGAUGGGGUGUAGCUAUAUUACCCAGUCUUGACUUCUGGCCUCAAGUGAUCCUCCCACCUUGGCCUCCCAAAGUGUUGGGAUUACAGAUGUGAGCCACUGUGCCCAGCUGUAUAAGUGGAAUUUAAUUAUGAGGAAAUCUACAGUGAAUCCAAAUUAAGGGAUAGUCCACAAAAUAACUGACAAUAUUCUUUAGAAGUGUCAAUGUCAUGAAAAAACAAAGACUGAGGAUUCGUCCCAGAUUGAGAGACUAAGGGGCCACGAGGACUAAACACAACAUGGGACCCUGGACUAGGAAAGGGUGGUGAGUGGGACGGUCAGCAGGGGUGAGCGGGACGGUCAGCAGGGGUGAGUGGGAUGGUCAGCAGGGCGUGCAUGAGGGGUUUGCUGGGUGAUCCUGUUGUAUCAGUGGCCAUUCUCUGAUCAUUGUACAAUUGAUCACUAUCCUCAAAGCUAACUUUUUUUUUUUUUGAGACGGAGUUUCACUCUGCCACCCAGGCUGGAGUGCAGUGGCGCCAUCUCAGCUCACUGCAGCCUCCGCCUCUUAGGUUCAAGUGAUUCUCCUGUCUCAGCCUCCCAAGUAGCUGGGACUACAGGCACCUGCCACCACACUUGGGGAAAUUUUUGUGUUUUUAAUAGAAACGGGGUUUCACCAUGUCGACCAGCCUGAUCUCAAACUCCCGACCUCAGCUGAUCCACCCACCUCGGUCUCCCAAAGUGCUGUGAUGAGUGCCCGUGAGCCACCGCGCCCAGCCUCAAAGCUAACUUUUGGGGACGUUGGAUGAAGAGUCCACAGGAACUUUUCUACUGUUUUUGCAACUUGUUAAAACCCUGUAAUUACUUCAAAAUGAAAAGUUAAAAAAUGAUCUUUUAAAAAAGAGUUAAUACUUGCAGUAUAUAAAGGACUCUUGAAAAUCAAUGAGAAGAUGA